AUAAAUUAUAGUAGUUAUACAAUUGAUAUAUCAAAUUAUAUCAUUGAUAUAGCAUAUUUGUUAGUCACUUGUGUAUAUUAUUAGUGGAUUUAAUUAAAAUAGUUAGUAAUUUGGUUUUAAAUUUAUUGUUGUUUUGGUACAUGAUCAUCAACUUAUAGUGCACGAACAGAAAUACUCAUUUUUUAUAGCAUUUGAAAAUAGCAUUAUAUAAAACAUGCUGUAAAAGAAAAUGAAAAAAAAAAAAAAAAAUGGGGGCACUCAAAUUUUAAGGAAAAAAUCGUUCCAUCCAACGUUUUUUCUCAUUCUUGAAUCUUAAAAACAAAGCUCAAAUUUCUAUCUCUAUGCUACAACUAAGUUAGAGUUCCUUGAAUCUUUACCUUACUAGUGAAACCCAUAAGAAACUUUCACAAAAAAAAAUGUUUUUCAAUCACUUGUAACUCGUCUUCUCGAAACUCCCAAUUUCUCUUUCUCAUGAUGUUGCUUUAUGGGGUCUUAUUUUUCUUCAUUUUCUUGCUCUUUCUCACAAUGAUGUCACUGAAGCAACCUCAAUCCAUGUGAAUAAAAUCCACUUCUCUUCAGAACUACUCAAAAAAUCGAAACCCCAUUUGUUUCCAUUUUUCCUAAAAACGGAUUGAUGAUUGGUUCAAUGUUCUAUUUCUGAGAUUGAAUGAUUUGAUUGUGUGUAUAUUUUGUUUCUUAAGUUAUUAGGUCCGAUCAAGAGUCGACGAUGUCAGUUUCAUUGAUGGAGAAGACGAAGACGAUGAAGCUGAUGAUGAACAGCAGUGAUGGAUGUUGAACGAUCACUAGUGACAGCUAAAGAGCUUUUAGCAAUACACGCUGCCUAUCUAUGGAAGCCACAAGUUGACACGACGUCGGCCGCCAUUGUCCCGAUCUUUGUCGAAAUGUUUUAGGAAAACCUUGGAAAAUUGGUGAAGAUCGAUUGGCUAAUUAAAUCGAGUAUUGGAAUUUGUCUUGGAUCAAGCCACAACUUUAUGUUGAUUCAUGUGUGCUAAAAAAGUUCUAAGGAGAUUUUGUUUUGUGUUUUUUACCAAGUUGAGGUAAGGGUAGAGAUACACUGACGAUGGACAAGCGGAAUUCAUGAUCGAGCCACUGGGACUAGUU